UACAGAGACUGCGGGCGUUAUUCGGAUUCACUGGGCGUAAAGGGUGCGCAGGCGGCCGUGUGUGUGAGGCGUGAAAGCCCGGGGCUUAACCCCGGAAUUGCACCUCAAACUACACGGCUAGAGCAUUGGAGAGGGUAGCAGAAUUCAUGGUGUAGCAGUGAAAUGCGUAGAUAUCAUGAGGAAUACCAGAGGCGAAGGCGGCUACCUGGACAAUUGCUGACGCUCAGGCACGAAAGCGUGGGGAGCAAAAGGG
rnacentral:rRNA from 1 species